AGAGUUUGAUCCUGGCUCAGAACGAACGCUGGCGGCGUGGAUAAGACAUGCAAGUCGAACGACAGAAUUGCUAGCUUGCUAAUAAUUCUCUAGUGGCGCACGGGUGAGUAACACGUGAGUAACCUGCCCCCGAGAGCGGGAUAGCCCUGGGAAACUGGGAUUAAUACCGCAUAGUAUCGAAAGAUUUAAAAGCAGCAAUGCGCUUGGGGAUGGGCUCGCGGCCUAUUAGUUAGUUGGUGAGGUAACGGCUCACCAAGGCGAUGACGGGUAGCCGGUCUGAGAGGAUGUCCGGCCACACUGGAACUGAGACACGGUCCAGACACCUACGGGUGGCAGCAGUCGAGAAUUAUUCACAAUGGGGGAAACCCUGAUGGUGCGACGCCGCGUGGGGGAAUGAAGGUCUUCGGAUUGUAAACCCCUGUCAUGUGGGAGCAAAUUAAAAAGAUAGUACCACAAGAGGAAGAGACGGCUAACUCUGUGCCAGCAGCCGCGGUAAUACAGAGGUCUCAAGCGUUGUUCGGAAUCACUGGGCGUAAAGCGUGCGUAGGCUGUUUCGUAAGUCGUGUGUGAAAGGCACGGGCUCAACCCGCGGACGGCACAUGAUACUGCGAGACUAGAGUAAUGGAGGGGGAACCGGAACUCUCGGUGUAGCAGUGAAAUGCGUAGAUAUCGAGAGGAACACUCGUGGCGAAGGCGGGUUCCUGGACAUUAACUGACGCUGAGGCACGAAGGCCAGGGGAGCGAAAGGGAUUAGAUACCCCUGUAGUCCUGGCAGUAAACGGUGCACGCUUGGUGUGCGGGGAAUCGACCCCCUGCGUGCCGGAGCUAACGCGUUAAGCGUGCCGCCUGGGGAGUACGGUCGCAAGAUUAAAACUCAAAGAAAUUGACGGGGACCCGCACAAGCGGUGGAGUAUGUGGCUUAAUUCGAUGCAACGCGAAGAACCUUACCUGGGCUUGACAUGUAAUGAACAACAUGUGAAAGCAUGCGACUCUUCGGAGGCGUUACACAGGUGCUGCAUGGCCGUCGUCAGCUCGUGUCGUGAGAUGUUUGGUUAAGUCCAGCAACGAGCGCAACCCCUGUUGCCAGUUACCAGCACGUGAAGGUGGGGACUCUGGCGAGACUGCCCAGAUCAACUGGGAGGAAGGUGGGGACGACGUCAGGUCAGUAUGGCCCUUAUGCCCAGGGCUGCACACGUACUACAAUGCCCAGUACAGAGGGGGCCGAAGCCGCGAGGCGGAGGAAAUCCUAAAAACUGGGCCCAGUUCGGACUGUAGGCUGCAACCCGCCUACACGAAGCCGGAAUCGCUAGUAAUGGCGCAUCAGCUACGGCGCCGUGAAUACGUUCCCGGGUCUUGUACUCACCGCCCGUCA
rnacentral:rRNA from 1 species